rnacentral:misc_RNA from 1 species
GAAGAUCUAGAUUUGGAAGCCUUCUAUCAGUCGGCCAUGUUUCUUCUAAAACAGACAGGCUUUCGAUGAGAGGCCCUGAAGGACGCGGGGAUGUUGAAGUUGCUGUGUCUGGAGUUGCAGAUCAGAGCCUUCAGAUUACAGAUCCUCCGUCACCGAUUCAAUUGUCGAAGAAAGGAUUGGGAAUUGGUCUCGGUACCAUUGUCCACAAAGCAGCCUCUGCUGCUUCUGUGUUGGCAAAGAAUGCUUAUGCUGCCG